UAAGACGAACCGUGCGAACGUUGUUCGGAAUCACUGGGCUUAAAGGGCGCGUAGGCGGGCCGUCGAGUCUGUGGUGAAAGCCUCCAGCUUAACUGGAGAAGUGCCGCGGAUACUGGCGGUCUCGAGGGUGGUAGGGGCAUGCGGAACUUCCGGUGGAGCGGUGAAAUGCGUAGAUAUCGGAAGGAACGCCGGUGGCGAAAGCGGCGUGCUGGACCACUUCUGACGCUGAGGCGCGAAAGCCAGGGGAGCAAACGGGAUUAGAUACCCCGGUAGUCCUGGCCCUAAACGAUGGGUACUAGAUUGUGGGCUGACAUGGGUUCACAGUCGAAGCAAAAGUGAUAAGUACCCCGCCUGGGGAGUAUGGUCGCAAGGCUG
rnacentral:rRNA from 1 species